UGAUAAUCUGGUCAUACGUACGCAGAGCUGCCCCAAAGGCUAAUCACCCUAGUACACGGCCCAAAGCCUAUGCGUGUACGAGAGUGGGUCCCAAAGACCUCUGAUAAUCUGGUCAUACACUAUGGAAACACAUUCACAAUAGUGCAGAGCGGGUAAAAUCACUGUAAGUAGUCAUACACUGUGGAAACACAUUCACAUCAGCGCAGACUGGGAUAAAAUCACCUGGGUACUUUCUG
rnacentral:lncRNA from 1 species